rnacentral:tRNA from 1 species
UGCCCGUGGGUUCUUCGAGAUCAGAGCACUCGCCCUGUAAGCGAGGUGUCCCGGGUUCGAGUCCCGGACUGGCUG